AACGCGAAGAACCUUACCUGGGCUUGACAUCCUCUGAUCAUCUAGGAGACUAGGUUUCCGGGCAACCGGACAGAGAGACAGGUGCUGCAUGGCUGUCGUCAGCUCGUGCCGUGAGGUGUUGGGUUAAGUCCCGCAACGAGCGCAACCCUUGUCGUGUGUUGGUCCACAAGAUCUCUCACACGAGACCGCCGGUGACAAGCCGGAGGAAGGUGGGGAUGACGUCAAGUCAGCAUGGCCCUUACGUCCAGGGCUACACACGUACUACAAUGCCCAGUACAGAAUGAACCGAAACCGCGAGGUGGAGGAAAUCCCUAAAACUGGGCUCAAUUCGGAUUGGAGGCUGCAACUCGCCUCCAUGAAGCCGGAAUCGCUAGUAAUGGCGCAUCAGCUACGGCGCCGUGAAUACGUUCCCGGGCCUUGUACACACCGACUGUAC
rnacentral:rRNA from 1 species